rnacentral:rRNA from 1 species
GAGUGAACGCUGGCGGUAGGCCUAACCCAUGCAAGUCGAACGGCAGCACAGUAAGAGCUUGCUCUUACGGGUGGCGAGUGGCGGACGGGUGAGGAAUACAUCGGAAUCUACUUUUUCGUGGGGGAUGACGUAGGGAAACUUACGCUAAUACCGCAUACGACCUACGGGUGAAAGCAGGGGAUCUUCGGACCUUGCGCGAUUGAAUGAGCCGAUGUCGGAUUAGCUAGUUGGCGGGGUAAAGGCCCACCAAGGCGACGAUCCGUAGCUGGUCUGAGAGGAUGAUCAGCCACACUGGAACUGAGACACGGUCCAGACUCCUACGGGAGGCAGCAGUGGGGAAUAUUGGACAAUGGGCGCAAGCCUGAUCCAGCCAUACCGCGUGGGUGAAGAAGGCCUUCGGGUUGUAAAGCCCUUUUGUUGGGAAAGAAAAGCAGCAGGUUAAUACCCCGCUGUUCUGACGGUACCCAAAGAAUAAGCACCGGCUAACUUCGUG